rnacentral:rRNA from 1 species
GACGAACGCUGGCGGCGUGCCUAAUACAUGCAAGUCGAGCGGACUUGCUGGAGCUUGCUCCAGCAGGUUAGCGGCGGACGGGUGAGUAACACGUGGGCAACCUGCCUGUAAGACUGGGAUAACUCCGGGAAACCGGAGCUAAUACCGGAUAGUAUCUUGAACCGCAUGGUUCAAGUUGGAAAGACGGUUUCGGCUGUCACUUACAGAUGGGCCCGCGGCGCAUUAGCUAGUUGGUGAGGUAAUGGCUCACCAAGGCAACGAUGCGUAGCCGACCUGAGAGGGUGAUCGGCCACACUGGGACUGAGACACGGCCCAGACUCCUACGGGAGGCAGCAGUAGGGAAUCUUCCGCAAUGGACGAAAGUCUGACGGAGCAACGCCGCGUGAGUGAUGAAGGUUUUCGGAUCGUAAAACUCUGUUGUUAGGGAAGAACAAGUGCGAGAGUAACUGCUCGCACCUUGACGGUACCUAACCAGAAAGCCACGGCUAACUACGUGCCAGCCGCCGCAGUAACAC